rnacentral:rRNA from 1 species
GACGAACGCUGGCGGCGUGCUUAACACAUGCAAGUCGAACGGAAAGGCCCUGCUUGCGGGGUCCUCGAGUGGCGAACGGGUGAGUAACACGUGGGUGAUCUGCCCUGCACUUCGGGAUAAGCCUGGGAAACUGGGUCUAAUACCGGAUAGGAGCCAUUUUUAGUGUGAUGGUUGGAAAGUUUUUUCGGUGUAGGAUGAGCUCGCGGCCUAUCAGCUUGUUGGUGGGGUAAUGGCCUACCAAGGCGGCGACGGGUAGCCGGCCUGAGAGGGUGGACGGCCACAUUGGGACUGAGAUACGGCCCAGACUCCUACGGGAGGCAGCAGUGGGGAAUAUUGCACAAUGGGCGCAAGCCUGAUGCAGCGACGCCGCGUGGGGGAUGACGGCCUUCGGGUUGUAAACCGCUUUCGCCAGGGACGAAGCUUUUUGUGACGGUACCUAGAGAAGAAGCACCGGCUAACUACGUG